GAUGUUUGAGGAUUAGACAUAGAACAUGACAUGACGGUGUGCCCAUGCAAAGAAAGAACAAAGAGCAUGAGAUAGAGAAGGAGUUGGGCAAAGAAUUAAGAAAGUGUUCAUAACACAUAUUUCUUGAUUUUCUUGUAGGCAGGUUACAUUAUACAUAUUUCACUCUCUUGAAAUAUAUAUCCUUAAUUUGCAUGUAUAUCUUAUAUAAGUAUGCUUGACAAUUUCACCAAGAGGCUUCAUUCACUUGAUCAAUGACAUUUUCAGUACGUACUGCUGAUCAUGCUCGAGGACCAUUAUUAUUCACUACCUUGCUUGAUGAACAUGUCGAUCCAAGAGGCUGAUAAUUAAUAUAUCUGCUUGGAGCAGAAGAUCGUCGAAACCCUUUUGGCAAACAAGCUUCCACGCCCCCUCCUUGGACGAAACCUUUCUUUAUUCCAUUGCCUUUCUCAUCAUGAGGCUUCAAGUUAAUGUAUUUUGGAACAUUAUAUUCCAAUAAGGGUCUUGCACCAGCCACACAAACGAAUGUAGAACACCCUCUUGUGUUGUUGGCAUCAUGAUCAGGGUUCAAAAGAAGGAUAAGAAGGAGCAGAAACUUGGAGAGAAAAAUAAUAUUGGUAGACAUAUUUUGGGAGGGCUUGAACUUAGAAUUUGUAGGUUUUUGAGUGUGUAAAUAAAU
rnacentral:lncRNA from 1 species